rnacentral:rRNA from 1 species
GAUGAACGCUAGCUACAGGCUUAACACAUGCAAGUCGAGGGGUAGAAGAGGCUUGCUUCUUUGAGACCGGCGCACGGGUGCGUAACGCGUAUGCAACCUACCUUCAUCUGGGGGAUAGCCCGGAGAAAUCCGGAUUAAUACCGCAUAAAAUCACAGGAUGGCAUUAUCCAAUGAUCAAACAUUUAUGGGAUGGAGAUGGGCAUGCGUGUCAUUAGCUAGUUGGCGGGGUAACGGCCCACCAAGGCGACGAUGACUAGGGGAUCUGAGAGGAUGGCCCCCCACACUGGUACUGAGACACGGACCAGACUCCUACGGGAGGCAGCAGUAAGGAAUAUUGGUCAAUGGAGGCAACUCUGAACCAGCCAUGCCGCGUUCAGGAAGACUGCCCUAUGGGUUGUAAACUGAUUUUAUUCGGGAAUAAACCUUAUUACGUGUAAUAAGCUGAAUGUACCGAAGGAAUAAGGAUCGGCUAACUCCGUGCCAGCCGCCGCCGUAA